rnacentral:rRNA from 1 species
AUUGAACGCUGGCGGCAGGCCUAACACAUGCAAGUCGAACGGUAACAGGAAGAAGCUUGCUUCUUUGCUGACGAGUGGCGGACGGGUGAGUAAUGUCUGGGAAACUGCCUGAUGGAGGGGGAUAACUACUGGAGACGGUAGCUAAUACCGCAUAACGUCGCAAGACCAAAGAGGGGGACCUUCGGGCCUCUUGCCAUCGGAUGUGCCCAGAGGGGAUUAGCUAGUUGGUGGGGUAACGGCUCACCAAGGCGACGAUCCCUAGCUGGUCUGAGAGGAUGACCAGCCACACUGGAACUGAGACACGGUCCAGACUCCUACGGGAGGCAGCAGUGGGGAAUAUUGCACAAUGGGCGCAAGCCUGAUGCAGCCAUGCCGCGUGUAUGAAGAAGGCCUUCGGGUUGUAAAGUACUUUCAGCGGGGAGGAAGGGAGUAAAGUUAAUACCUUUGCUCAUUGACGUUACCCGCAGAAGAAGCACCGGCUAACUCCGUGCCAGCCGCCGCGGUAA